AGAGUUUGAUCCUGGCUCAGGACGAACGCUGGCGGCGUGCCUAAGACAUGCAAGUCGAGCGGGGGGACUGGGGAGCUUGCUCUCCGGUCUCCUAGCGGCGGACGGGUGAGUAACACGUGGGCAACCUGCCCGGCAGUGGGGGAUAACCCUGGGAAACCGGGGCUAAUACCGCAUACGGUCCGCGCUCCGCAUGGGGCGUGGAAGAAAGGCCGUCGUGAGGCGGUCGCUGCCGGAGGGGCCCGCGGCCCAUCAGCUGGUUGGUGGGGUAACGGCCCACCAAGGCAACGACGGGUAGCCGGCCUGAGAGGGUGGCCGGCCACACUGGGACUGAGGCACGGCCCAGACUCCUACGGGAGGCAGCAGUCGGGAAUCUUGCGCAAUGGGSGAAAGCCUGACGCAGCGACGCCGCGUGGGGGAGGAAGCCCUUCGGGGUGUAAACCCCUGUCGUCCGGGACGAAGGUGAGGGGCUGAAAGGCCUCUUGCUGACGUACCGACGUGGAAGACGUUUAUGGGGGUUU
rnacentral:rRNA from 1 species